rnacentral:rRNA from 1 species
GACGAACGCUGGCGGCGUGCCUAAUACAUGCAAGUAGAACGCAGUUGCGAACGGGUGAGUAACGCGUAGGUAACUGCCUCAUAGCUGGGGAUAACUAUUGGAAACGAUAGCUAAUACCGCAUACUGUGAGAUGGACCUGCGUUGUAUUAGCUAGUUGGUGAGGUAAAGGCUCACCAAGGCGACGAUACAUAGCCGACCUGAGAGGGUGAGCGGCCACACUGGGAGUGAGACACGGCACAGACUCCUGCGGCAACCAGCAGUAGGGGAUGUUCUGCAAUGGACGGAAGUCUGACCGAGCAACGCCGCGUGAGCGAAGAAGGUUUUCGGGUCGUAAAGGUCUGUUGUUAGAGACGCGGUAGCUAAACAGAAAGCGCCGGCUAACUAAGUGCCAGCAGCCGCGGUAAUAC